rnacentral:rRNA from 1 species
CCUACGGGUGGCUGCAGUGAGGAAUAUUGGUCAAUGGUCGCGAGACUGAACCAGCCAAGCCGCGUGAGGGAAGAAGGUACAUGGUAUCGUAAACCUCUUUUGUCAGGGAACAAAGACUGGGACGCGUCCCCGGAUGAGUGUACCUGAAGAACAAGCAUCGGCUAACUCCGUGCCAGCAGCCGCGGUAAUACGGAGGAUGCGAGCGUUAUCCGGAUUUAUUGGGUUUAAAGGGUGGGCAGGCGUUCUGUUAAGUCAGCGGUAAAAGCCCGGGGCUCAACCCCGGCCCGCCGUUGAAACUGGCAGUCUCGAGUUGGAGAGAAGGAUGCGGAAUGCGCGGUGUAGCGGUGAAAUGCAUAGAGAUCGCGCAGAAUUCCGAUGGCGAAGGCAGCAUGCCGGCUCCACACUGACGCUCAGGCACGAAAGCGUGGGUAUCGAACAGGAUUAGAUACCCCAGUAGUC